CUACUUUAUUUUGUGGAAAUGAGAAGCACACCAAGGGAUUCACUAAGUCGCAUAAGAACUUGCACUUCUAUUGGAUCCUUGGCGCUGGCCAUUUUGUUCCCGUGGAUCAACCGUGUGUGACAUUAAAUAUGGUGGACGCAAUCACACAGUCACCAACUUCUUGAUGCAG